rnacentral:rRNA from 2 species
CGAAUCAGGUAGGACUACCCGCUGAACUUAA